rnacentral:rRNA from 1 species
AGGUGAACCUGCGGAAGGAUCAUUUAUGAUUGACCGUCUGUCGAGCUUGCUCACAGGCACAUCAUAUCCAUAACACCUGUGCACUUGUCGGAUGGCUUUGUGAAGACCGCAAGGUUGGAUCUAUCCAUCUACUUUUCAUAACAAUUCUGUAACAAAUGUAGUCUUUUUUUAACAUAAUAAAACUUUCAACAACGGAUCUCUUGGCUCUCGCAUCGAUGAAGAACGCAGCGAAAUGCGAUAAGUAAUGUGAAUUGCAGAAUUCAGUGAAUCAUCGAAUCUUUGAACGCACCUUGCGCUCCUUGGUAUUCCGAGGAGCAUGCCUGUUUGAGUGUCAUGAAAACCCUCAACCCUAGAUUGGUUUAAACCUUUCUUUGGUUUGGAUUUGGACGUUUGCCGAUGAUAAGUCGGCUCGUCUUUAAAGUAAUAGCUGGAUCUGUCUCGCGACAUGGUUUGACUUGGCGUAAUAAGUAUUUCGCUAAGGACAUCUUCGGAUGGCCGCGUUGCAGGACUAAAGACCGCUUUCGAAUCCAUUGAUCUUCGGAUUUAUACUCUUGACAUCUGGCCUCAAAUCAGGUAGGACUACCCGCUGAACUUUAGCAUAU